UUGAAGCUCAACUGCACAAUUGCUUUAAUUGGAUAAUUAAGCUUAACCGUUAAUGUAGUUGAUUGAAUUGGACAAAUGUACAUAGAUGAGAUGAAAUGUUGUGAGUUCUUUCAUCAAACAUGUAUCUUUCUUUUUUUCCCUUCUUUUUUGUCUUUCAGCAUGAAUGUUGAUGGAUGCAAUGUUGUUCAUUGGAAUCAAUGCUGCCAUAAGGUAAUUAAGUCUAAAAGCUUGUACAAAAAUGUACUCCAUUUGUUUUUGAGUUUGUUUUAAUGCAUCGUCGCUCUUUCAGCGUUCGAGUCUCAAAUGAGCUUGGGCUAGGUCGGCCCAUGGCUACCAAAUAUAGUGUAGUAUUUCAAUCAAUCCUCAUUGGGAUACUCUACUGGCUGUAAGAAAUCAUCUGGCCAUUCUUUUCACAAACAGCAAGGAUUUGCAAUGAGCUGUUGCUGACCUUGCUUGGCUUCUCGGAAUAACCAUGGUUCUUAGCAGUGUUAACAGGUGUUGCUAUUGGAGGUGGAUGGCAAGGUCUAGUGGCUUAUAUCAAUUUGAGAUCUUACUAUGUUUUUGGUAUUCCUCUAGGAUAUACGAUUGGUUAUGUCUCUAACCUUAACCUUGGAGUCGUGGUAAAUAAACUCAUUCUAAAAGUUACAAACAUUAAGUAUAUCAAAGUUUAAUCUCACACUGCAUUUGUAAACAUCUUUUAUAGGAAACACUUCGUUUUAGUAUCUCACAACUUUUUUUAACCUAAAAACAUUAUGACAGAAAUUCAAUUUAUCCGAAUUAUGGAUUAUAUCUUGCAAGGUCUAUGGGGAGGAAUGAUAGCAGGACUUGCUUUACAGACACUGCUACUCUCAUUUGUACUCUAUAGAACUGAUUGGAAUAAAGAGGUUUAGCAGUCUGUAGAGCACCUACGCAAGUGGGGAGGUCAAGACUUUGAAUCUGAGAAAACUAUUACAAUUUCAGAGCCUACGAAGGCCUUACCAUAAGAGUAUGAUUUUUCAGUGACAUCAAAGGAUGAAAGGUCUUCAUCUUUGUUUUUGUUAACCAGUUAAUGAUAUAGUAUCUACAUGUUGUGAAUAAAGUGGAGCCUAAAUCCAUGUCAGAUGCCACGGUGGAUGACAGCUAGGC